GGAGGAGGAAGAAGAGGAGGGAGGGGCGGCCGCGCUCGGGGAUGCUCGGGGAGCCCCCGGUCGUUCCCUGCAAACCUUCCCGCGGGUCCCCUCUCCCCAGCACACACCAAAGCAAAUAUUUGCGUUGGCCCCGGAGCAGAAAUUCCCCUCUUUGAAGCCGUCCCCCGCCCCGGGGUGCUCCGCUCCGAGAGCUGCGGGCUCUGCGCGUCGGGAGCCGCGGGGCAGCGCCUCCGGGAUGCGCCGUGAUGGGAGGGCCGGAGCCCCCCGGGCGGCGAUGGGCACCGGGAGAGGGAUUUCCCCGCAGCCCCCAAAGCUUCCGCUCCUUCACAUGGCUCUCUGGACUUUAGCGCUUCAUUGAUGGCCGUGCGGGUCCUGCGCACCCCCACCCCCCGUGUGUGCCACCCCAGCGGCAGCCCAGGCUGCGCUUCCCACGGCUUUGUUUGCUCUCUCCAUGCUGGAAUUUUUUAUCUUCUCCUGCAGGAAAAAGCAAAGAGCACUGGCAGCACGUCCGUACGGAUGUGUCCUUGUGGGGUCACAGCUCCGAAGCGCAGCUCAAGGGCAGCAGGGAUGGGAUUUCUAUGCAUCCCAAAAGCCGAGGAGAGCCCAGCAGCACUGCUGGUGGGGGGGGGGGAGGAGGGCUGCAGUGAGCACAAAGCACCGCUCCCCCCACGCACUCUUGCAGCAUCCAAGUAUUUCCAGCUCUGGGAAUAUCCUGGGCUGGGUGCCGCCCUGCCUGCAUGCUGAGCCUCACUGUGCUGCUCUGUGCUGGACUCUGCUUGGCCUUGCACUCAUCCAAACCCAGCCCCUUCCCUUUGCUCCUCGCUCCCAGAUCGGUUCCCCCUGACCUCUCCUUUAAGCUGCAGAAGGUAAAUUCAGCACCGCAGUCGUGGAGUUUAACAUAUUUACCCCAGGAUGUUCAUUGUGGCGCCUCCCUUCCAGCCUCUGUAUGUUGCAGAUGGAGAAACUGAGGCACAGGCUCACAUCCUGCUAUGAGGGUGAGGUCAGUCCCCAACCAUGAAUCACCUGUAGGGCGCGGAGAGCACCUGGAGCCCAUCAGAUCCUUCAUGCAGGUGUGGCAGGGAGGAAUGGGCUGUGCUGAGCUCUGGGAGCCCGCUGUGUGCUGCCACACUCCUCCAGCCCAUCCAACCCAUCCUGCCCCAGCACCAACCUCUGUGCUGCCAGGAAAGGGAGAAUACACACCGACAACAUGCCUAUUUCUGUAGGGUUUCCAGCUGAGAACUGCUUGUUUCAGGGUGUCCCUACAGGGGCUGGGCAAAGCUGUGCUCCCUGCCAGCUGCCAUGCAAACCAGUGCUGGGCCUGGGACUGGUGGUGGGCCUGAGCCAUCGCUGGAUCGGCCCCGGGGGUUCACCAGCCCAGCCCACAUAGGGAUGGCCAGGGCAGGAGCAGCCGCAGUCAUGCUGUGCAGCUGCAGGGCAAACCCCACAGGAGAACUCCCAUGGGGAAGCAGUGCAGGACAAGGAUGGCUCCGACCCUGGUUUGGUCCGUGCUCGCCGUGCCCAUCCCGCUCUCAGGAAUGCGUUCCAUUUCUUAAGGCUUGCAUAUUGCAAACCCUGCUGCCUGCUGUGGGACAGCGCUGGGGGACGUCUGGGGUGCAGACGGCUCUGUACAGGACCCGAUGGGGUCGCGCCUGCAGCCGGCUGCCGUGGACGUGCAGGAUGCGGCACAUGGAGCGACGGGCUGGGGAUCCUGUGGGAAACAUCCUGCUUGGCCACUGGCUGGGCAGGAGCGUGGCCAGCUCUGCGAGCCCUGAUUGCAACCACAUGCUGCUCCGGCACCGCCGCAACCCGGAGGCGGCCCACGCACAGACGCGGCGCUGCAGCGCUGCCGGUGCUGGGGAUGCUCCAACACGGAGUGCGUGGCACGGGGCGCUGUGUCCCACCCGACGCCGGGCCAACGAGCGGACCCGCAGCUCCUCCGGCACAGCGGCUCCCAUUGGGCUCCCGGUGCCCACUGGAGGGUGCUCUCUGCCAAGCUUUGCCGCGGCUCUUCCCCUUCAGCGGGCAGUCAGCGGCUCUGACUCCUGCAGGAUCUGAUGCCAUUUCCUGCACAGAUACUCUCCGUUGUGCCGCGGCGUUUGCUCGCUGAAGCGGAUCCCCGGCCUUCACCCCGCUCUCUGGCUCGCCUUUGCUUUCCGGAACCUCAUUCUCCUCCCACCCUCUCGUGCUGCUCCUUGCAAAGAGGUCUGAACGGGCCACGCUCCAUCCUUACAGGGACCUUCCAUCAGGCAGGCUGACAAACUUCCCUUUGCAGAGCCCAUCUGCGCUCCAUUCAUCUAUUUUUAAGCACAACUGCAAACCAUUUUCCAGGAACAAACGUACCGGGCUGCAAUCCCUCCUUCCCAGCAGGGCGUGCCAGGGCCAGGCCCUCAACCUGCUGCCAGGGCUGCGUGUUCCUAAAGGCAGAUCUACAGUGAAAGCAACGCUGCUGAAGCCAGCAGGGUCCCCGAGCCACCCUGUGUGCGCUUUGGGACUGCAGGAGUGGCUGUGGCCAUGCUGCCUCUUACCAGGGAGGAGAUGGCUUUGCUGUCCCCAGCUUCAGCAUCCCAGCAACGGGGCCGACAGGAGCAGGCCGGCCACGUGGCUCCAGCAGGGACACAGCAGCCCAUCCUCUCCCACCAGCGAGCAGUGUCACACCGGGUGAUCCAUCACUGUCACUUCCCAUUAGGAUAAUAAAUGUCUCUUGCUGCAUAAUCUGCUCUCUGGUCCUGCCAGCCCCGGCUGCUCUCCCCGCACGUAUCCAACACGCACAGAACGCUGUCAUUACUGUCUGUGUCAUUUGCUAAGUGGCUCCCAGCAAGUUAAAUAAACGUCAGUUAGAACUUC